rnacentral:rRNA from 1 species
AUUGAACGCUGGCGGCAGGCCUAAUACAUGCAAGUCGAGCGGAUGAAGGGAGAUCGCUCCCGGCUUCCGCGGCGGGCGGGCGGGUAAUGACUAGGAAUCUGACUGACCGAGAGGGCUAACGUACCGUCACGGGACCUAAUCUAAUACCCGUCAUGAGGGUGAACGUGGGGGUUCUAUGGAGCAAGAGGUUUUUGAUGACACUUAGAGAUGGUACCAGGUCGUAUUAGCUAGUUGGUAAGGUAACGGCUUACCAAGGCUACGAUGCGUAGCUGAUCUGAGAGGAUGAUCAGUCACACUGGAACUGAGACACGGUCCAGACUCCUACGGGAGGCAGCAGUAGGGAAUAUUGGACAAUGGGCGAAAGCCUGAUCCAGCCAUGCCGCGUGUGUGAAGAAGGUCUUCGGAUUGUAAAGCACUUUAAGUUGGGAGGAAGGGCAGUAUGUGAAUACCUGGCUGUUUUGACGGUACCAACAGAAUAAGCACCGGCUAACUUCGUG